AAUAAAGAGAAUUGGAAAGCAAAGCAUGUUAAUGCUGAAAACAAAAUGUAAUCAGCUUCAGGUCUGUAUUUAGUCUCAACUCUGAAAAUACUUCAGAAUGCUGACCACCUAAACAGCACACAAUCUACUGUGAAGGUUUUCUUCCCUCACAUUAUCUCUGGAUGGAAUAAGGGAGGAUAGCUGUCACCAUGGGUUGAGGGAAAAGUUGUUUUAUAUUCCACAAAGAUGAAUUCCACAGCACAAAGUCACAU